rnacentral:tRNA from 1 species
GCGGGUAUAAUUUAGUGGCAGAAUGCGACCUUCCCAAGGUUGAUAUGCGAGUUCGAUUCUCGCUACCCGCA